GAGCCUGUUCCUAACACCCAGCCUGACCCUCCCCUGUCGCAGCUCCACGCCAUUCCCUUGGAUCUUGUUGUUGUCACAUACUGUGGACACCCCCU